AGAUAUACCGAAAUAUCUCUUGGGAUAAAUAGUACAGGUAAUAGAGACUUGAAAUACAAUGUGGAUAUGCAAGAUCAGAAAAUUCCUACAAGUCGACAGUUAGAUUAUCAAUUUGCUAUAACUGGUAGGCGAAGACUAUUUGCUAAGGAUGUAUUUUUUUGGCUGAGAGGUUGUGUAACAAUGUAGUGAUUACAGUGCUACUUUAUUUCCUUUUCUUGUAACUAAUUACAAAAUAUAAAUGAAAGCAUGAUAUUAUUUGUAA